rnacentral:misc_RNA from 1 species
GAGUAUGAGCGUGAGUUAGUCAGACUAAGCCGGUAUGGGAGGGAGAUAGUUCCUACAAAGGCAGAGGUGCAGACGGUUUGAAGAAGGGCUCAAUGACAAUAUCAAAAUCAUGAUCACAGCACUGGAGAUCACGAAUUUUGCUAAACUGGAAGAUGCAGCAUCAAAAGUGUAAAGGGUCAGAAUCAAUGAACAAAAUAGAAGAGAAAGACAGCAGAAAAGGGGUCUGAGUCAGUCCAGUACAUUUUCUGCUCCCAGCA